rnacentral:rRNA from 1 species
UGGGGAAUUUUGCACAAUGGGGGAAACCCUGAUGCAGCGACGCCGCGUGAUUUAGAAGGCCUUCGGGUUGUAAAAAUCUUUUCUAUGGGAAGAAAAUGACAGUACCAUAGGAAUAAGGACCGGCUAAUUACGUGCCAGCAGCCGCGGUAAUACGUAAGGUCCGAGCGUUGUCCGGAAUCAUUGGGCGUAAAGGGUACGUAGGCGGGUAAGCAAGUUAGAAGUGAAAUCCUAUAGCUCAACUAUAGUAAGCUUUUAAAACUGCUCAUUUUGAGGUAUGGAAGGGAAAGUGGAAUUCCUAGUGUAGCGGUGAAAUGCGCAGAUAUUAGGAGGAAUACCGGUGGCGAAGGCGACUUUCUGGCCAUAACCUGACGCUGAGGUACGAAAGCGUGGGUAGCAAACAGG